rnacentral:rRNA from 1 species
UACGUAGGGGGCAAGCGUUGUCCGGAAUCAUUGGGCGUAAAGAGCGUGUAGGCGGCCUGGUAGGUCUGCUGUGAAAACUCGAGGCUCAACCUCGAGAUGUCGGCGGAAACCAUCUGGCUAGAGUCCGGAAGAGGAGAGUGGAAUUCCUGGUGUAGCGGUGAAAUGCGUAGAGAUCCGGAAGAACACCGGUGGCGAAGGCGGCCUGCUGGGCAGUGGCUGACACUGAGGCGCGACAGCGUGGGGAGCAAACAGG